rnacentral:lncRNA from 1 species
GACUUAACUAAAGAGUGUGGUCAAUAACUGUUAGGUGAGCCACAUGAUUUAGAAAUCAAGCCUCUACAAUAUGCUUAGAGCAGUAUUUGGGCAAAGAGUUGUUUAUGUAUCUGUAUGCAUGUUACCAAUAACUGUUAGGUGAGGUACAUGGCAUCGGUGGGACUACAGCAUCCACUAGGAAUUUAGUUAUCGCAUCAAAAUUUUUGUUUCCCACCC